rnacentral:lncRNA from 1 species
GCCACCAUUACCACAUGGAUGAAAAAUGUCAAUUAGAUUAAUGUUAAUACUUGUACUAAAGGAUCAAGCCACCAAUCAUAACUUUUUCCACAUGAAUACACCAAAGUGAUUGGCCUUACUUCUUUACCUAUAUAAACAAAAAUCAGGUAUGAGUUCUUGAAAAAGGUACAUUCAAUCAGCAUUAACAUGACCCAAUAGGAUAGCAUCUUAAUUUGUUAUGUUGAUUAAAUUGUUAUCUAGGAAGCUAUAUUACAAUGAGGAGAGCAACAAAAUAAAUUUCUGGAUGACAUAAAAGUUAACCCACAGUAUUCUCAAUUCUGGAAUGGCAUCCACAUGACCCAGUCUCCAAGUAGUAGAAGUGUGGAGCUACUUCAGACAGCCCUCCAUUUGUAAAGUCAGUUCGAGAUGGAAAAAAAUGGAUUAUGUCGGGGAGAAAGCUUUUCAUACAAAAUCAUCACCUUGAUUAAAUUGGUUUAGAUAUUCUAAAAAAGAAGAUUUACAGCACUGAUAAGCAAUAGGGUCAGACAUGUUUCUAGGGCUUUCAUACUGUAAGGAAAGAGCCAGUGCAAUCCACUAGAAUUACGAAGAAUCACAAGUUCAUGGUCGACGACAUAGUAGAGACACAGAAAGGAUAGUGACAGAAAUAAAUUCUUCUCAUUUACUUUGAGAACUUUAAAGACCUAAUUAGAACACCGAAAGGGAGGAGACAGAAAAGAAGGUGAUUAGAGAAAACACUCUUCAUGUCUGUCCUCAUACAUUCAUGAAAAUAAAUAUCAAGCAGAAUUAAAAAGGGAUUAUGAUGAUAUCCCGUUUCUUAUCAUUCAGUCAGAAAAUAUUUACAAGCUGAUAUGCAUGUAAAAUAACAAAGAGAAAUCAUCAAAUGGUAAUAAAGCAAAAUACAAGAAAGAAAAAAGAGAAGUUUCAUUGAAUGCACAUAGUGCACAUGUCCAGGCUCCGGGACAAAAAGCAAAUGAUCUGAAAGGAAAAAUGUGGCAUAAUAUAGGAAAGUUAGUCUAAUUCGUAAAAUCAUAAAAUACUACUAAAAUGUGGAUCAUACAUUCUACCAGAUGAACUACAAUAAUAAGUUAAACAGAAGUAAGCACAUUUAGCAAAAGAUUCUUGUAAGAACAAAAUCAAAUUCCAUCCAUGCAUUGGUAAUCUCAUUUUUCAUAUUCAACAAAAUGAGACAAAGAAGUUACCACAACAAACAAUAAAAUUUGAGAAUUUUUUGCUUCCCAUUAUACUAUUGAAUACACGAAACUUAUCAAAUUGAGCACAUGGGCUACAACUGUGUUACUUUUAAAUGUCACCUAGAAGAACAGGGUGCAAAUAUCAUAUUAACU